rnacentral:rRNA from 1 species
AAGGAAUAUUGGUCAAUGGACGCAAGUCUGAACCAGCCAUGCCGCGUGAAGGAUGAAGGUCCUCUGGAUUGUAAACUUCUUUUAUCUGGGACGAAAACGGGAUUUUAUCUCAAUUGACGGUACCAGAGGAAUAAGCACCGGCUAACUCCGUGCCAGCAGCCGCGGUAAUACGGAGGGUGCGAGCGUUAUCCGGAUUUACUGGGUUCAAAGGGUGCGUAGGUGGGCUUAUAAGUCAGUGGUGAAAUCUCCGAGCUUAACUUGGAAACUGCCGUUGAUACUAUAGGUCUUGAAUUAUCUGGAGGUAAGCGGAAUAUGUCAUGUAGCGGUGAAAUGCUUAGAUAUGACAUAGAACACCGAUUGCGAAGGCAGCUUACUACAUAUAAAUUGACGCUGAGGCACGAAAGCGUGGGGAUCAAACA